CGACCCGCAGCAGUCGACGGCGUCAGCCGCGCGCCUCCAGCCGUGAAGCAGAACCCGCGUUUCGGCUGAUCUGCGCCCGCCCGUCGGCCCGAGUCCAAAACCGACCCGCGCCGCCCGCCGAACCCGAACUCCGCGCGCGCGCCUACUCCAAGCCGAGCCGCGCCUCCCUGCUGACGUGAGCCGAGCCGCUCGCGCAAGCCCCUUUCGCCAGGACUGAGCCGAGCCGAUUCUGUCCUUCUUCCAGCCGAGCCGCCAAGACAAUUUUGGCUCCUUCCACCUAGUUUUUGGUAAAUUUCCAAAUUCCCUAGCCUGCCCAGUAAUUAAAUGAGUUAAUUUGGAAAUUUAAUUAAUUUAAUUACUUUCCUCAAGAAGCAACUUGGACCAAAUAGCUGCUGCAGCUUAGGACUUCCUCAGUAGGAACUCAUCUAGCAACAUCUCGAGGUAGAGGACGAGGUAAGGGCAAAGGCAAGCUGGCGAGCGACGUGAAGUGACCGUGGCGAGCCAUAGGGGUUUUCCUGCUUCCGCACAUGUUUUACUUUACAGUUAAAUUCAUGUUUCGGCUUUCUGCAUGUUUACUUUGGUUAUUUUUGUAGAUAGGGCCCGCUUAGGGAUUUUAAACUUAACUCGUAUUUCUACAUGUUACCUUAACUAUCUUUCAUAAAUACAUUUGCUAGAUUUCUUUGCA